GUUCCGCAGCGCUCCGAGCUGCCCCGGCUGGGGCCCGGCGCCGGGGGUGGCUCUGGCCGUGUCCCUGCCGGUCACAGCGGCCUCGGGGGGGGGCAGAUGUUGGCAGAACCCCCGUCCUCUGGUGACCCAGCGCACGAACACCUCAGGUGCUGCCUGUUGAUCCAGCUCUCGCCGCUCCGACACGGAUGGUGUUUAAAACAGCAACAAAAAAGGGAAUGUGGAGCAGCUCGUCUGUCCCUGCUCCGCGGGACACUUAAUGAGGUCUUUUCCAGCCUGAGGGACUCUGUGGUUCCAUGGCUGUGAUUCCCAGCUCCCUGGGGCCCUGUUUGCAGGCACAACCCAUCCCCACCCCCAAGGUGCUGCGGAGGACCAGGGCCAGGAAGAGGCUGGGGGAAGCAGGGAGUAACUGCUGCAUCCAAGGCCAGGAAACAUCCAGCAGCUCCACCCCGAGGGGUUGCAGGUGAUCUCCAGACUGGGUCAAGCUGCUGGGCCAUGCCAAGAUGCACAGGGAAGAUUUGUUAAAGAAAUGAACCAAGGAGGGCGUUGAUGGGAGCGAAAUGGAUGGGACCCCCAGGGACCCUCGUCUUGGAGGCAACUCCAGCGAUGCUGCUCCACAGCCUGGGCGGGCUCUGGAUGGACAGGACCCACCUGGGUUCCCUCAGAACUGCAGAACUGGCCAUCCCAGUUGGUCAUCCUGGAGUCAGGACUCAGAGCUGGUCAUCCCAGUUGG